AUGGCGGUGGGCCGUGCGUUCGAGGCGCAGCUCUGUGUGCCGCCGCACCAUCUGCGGGUGACGGCGCACAACCCGGAGGACUUCUUCAUCAUCUUCACCCAGCCUGCCCACCAAGACAAUGUUGUGCGCCGCGGCACCCUGCGCGUCGACGGUGUCAACUUCGGCAUCACGCCGUGGAGAGAGAACGACCACGCCGGCCAUGGCACCUUCAACCUCCACGUCCGCUGCGUCAUCGAGCACCUGCCGCAGCAGUACUGGUCCCUGGAAGAAGUCCAGGAGGUGUUCGGCGACAAGGUGCGCGUCGACCACCUCGACAGCCGCACGCUGGAGUGCGACCACACCAAGCACCUCGCCUGCUGGGUGUGGGUCUGGGACAUGGCCUUCAUCCCCACCAGGCACACCUACUGGAAGCUUACCCAGGGUGCUGGCCGCGUCGAGGAGAUGGAGGGCUACUCGCCACCGGACCGGUGGGUCGCCCUGCCGCCCGGCGCCGAGCGCUUCGAUAUGCUCAUCCACGUCGACAGGGUGGAGGACUGGUCCCCCUGCGCGCCGCGCUCCUCGCACUCCGCUCAGAGCGGUCUGCCCUCCUUCGGCCCUGACCACGACGACGACCUGCCGCGCACCUACCCAGGCUCCUGGAUUCUGCACGUCAAGGACGGCCAGCCUGAGGAGCGGCACCGCCGUCAGCAGCGCGCGCCGGUGGUUGACUCGGGCUAUCGGGGGUCUCCCUCGUGGUGA
rnacentral:rRNA from 1 species